CCUACGGGGGGCUGCAGUGGGGAAUAUUGGACAAUGGGCGAAAGCCUGAUCCAGCCAUGCCGCGUGUGUGAAGAAGGCCUUCGGGUUGUAAAGCACUUUCAGUGGGGAAGAAAGCCUUGGGGCUAAUACCCUCGAGGAAGGACAUCACCCACAGAAGAAGCACCGGCUAACUCCGUGCCAGCAGCCGCGGUAAUACGGAGGGUGCGAGCGUUAAUCGGAAUUACUGGGCGUAAAGCGCGCGUAGGCGGUCUGAUAAGCCGGUUGUGAAAGCCCCGGGCUCAACCUGGGAACGGCAUCCGGAACUGUCAGGCUAGAGUGCAGGAGAGGAAGGUAGAAUUCCCGGUGUAGCGGUGAAAUGCGUAGAGAUCGGGAGGAAUACCAGUGGCGAAGGCGGCCUUCUGGACUGACACUGACGCUGAGGUGCGAAAGCGUGGGUAGCAAACAGGAUUAAAUACCCCGGUAGUC
rnacentral:rRNA from 1 species